rnacentral:lncRNA from 1 species
AACUGCAAAAGUUUCAAUAGUUCAUAUAAAAAAUGGUAAUAACAAGCUGCAUAUAAUAUAAAGUAGACUAAAAUGAAAUGUUACGCUCCCAGCUAGCAUAUCAUCUUCCCAUUUUUAUCCUUUCUAAACGAUUUAAGGAGUGAUUGGCAAGUUGUUAGUGGUCAGAUCUUUGGGGAUAACUGAGCUGGAGGUGUUGCUAGGGGUAUCACCAUCCUUUAUAAGAGAAAUAACAAACUCAGAACAGGGAUUGAUAUCCUCCCUCGAACGUUUAUCUUUGCCCAAUUAAUGAAGGGGAGGAAGGGUUAACCGUCUAAUGGGCCUGCCUCAUCGAAAUCUUCAGUGGCACCUUCGGAGAGGCAAAAUCUACUCAUAAAUCGCAGCUACAUCUCCUUUAGGGAAUUCUCAUUUUGGGCCUUCCUUUUUGCAUCUUCGAUAGGUACUUCCUCAUUGGUGUUUCCGUCUCUGUUCCAAUGUUGAUGGUGAUGGUUUGUUCGAGGUUAGGUUUGGGUUUGUCUUCAACCCAUCCUUUGACUUCCUCAAGCACAUCUUUAUAGUUCAUUUCCUCUUGCUCGAUUCUAAUCAAGUCGAAGUCCAGUUCUUUAUCGAAAUCGUAGUCAUUAUUCAAAUUUAGCAGAUCAUUGACAAGGCUAGAAACGCUAAAAUUUGGAAACCUGAGAAUAAAACUUGAUUCUUUAAUAUAUAUAUAAAAUUGUUAUCAACAGCAAAAGUUUCAACAAUUUAUAUGACAAAAGGCAAUAACAAGCUGCAUAUAAUAUAAAGUAGACUAAAAUGAAAUUGUGCACUCCCAGCUAGCAUAUCAUCUUCCCAUUUUUAUCCUUUCAGAAUGAUUUAAGGGGUGAUCGCGCGUCAAGUUGUUGGUGGUCAGAUCUUUGGGGAUAAUUGAGCUAGAGGUGUUGCUAGGGGCAUCACCAUCCUUGAUGAGAGAAAUAACAAACUCAAAACUGGGAUCGGUAUCCUCCCUCGAACGUUUAUCUUUGCCCAGUUAAUGAAGGGGAGGAUGGGUCGAUCGUCUGAUGGGACUGCAUCAUCGAAAUCCUCAGUGGCACCUUCAGAGAGGAAAAAACUGCUCAUAAAUCACAGCGGGAUCUCCUUUAGGGAAUUCUCAUUUUGGGCCUUCAUUUCUACAUCUUAGAUAGGUGCUUCCUCAUUGGUGUCUCCGUCUCUAUUUUAAUUGACCUUGGGUAUCAGGAGGUUUGAGACAAUGAUGAGUAUCUUCCUUAAUGGCUCUUUGAAACCCGCUUUAGUGAGGUUUGGCAUGAGGGGAGUUAAUAGGUGGACUGACAUCUUCUUAUGGAGCUUACGAUAUUUGAAACCACUGGGGUAACCCAAUCCGACCUUAUUUAAUUGCGUAGGUAUGUGGAUCGGAUUUUUGAUUCCUUUUCCACUCUUACCUAGACCUUGGCCUUGUCGGUAUCCUCGAGUGACCAUCUUUUGGCUGACAGUCAUUACCUCCAGAGAUAUCAUGGGUUUCAAUGCUGGCAAACCCAUAGGGUGAUAAUGAGGGGUGCUCACUUCAAAGGCUUAAAAGCUUACAGGCUCAAUGCCUUCAUUUAGACUGAUCAGGGGAAUCUCUCCUUGUGUAUGAAUUUGAUAUUUUGACUCAGCACUGAUGGUGACCAAGCUGCCAUUGAUAAUGUAUUUUAAUUACUGGUGGAGAGUGGAAGGAAGGAACUGCACCAGCCAUAUGAAUCCACGGUCGUCCCAACAACAGGUUUAUUCCUCGGUGAUGUUUAAUACUUGGAAGGACACAUUAAACAUGUAUGGGACAAUCUCCAUGGGAAGAUCGAUCUUCCCCAUUGUGUCCCUAUAUGAUCAGUCAAACGCUUUGACCACGACAUGACUAGUUCGGAUCCUGUUAGAAUUAAUCUUAAUCUUUUCAAGGGUACCAUAUGGGCAUAUAUUGAAAGCAGAGCUGCCAUCUAUUAGUACCACUCCUAUCACAUAUCUUGAUGAUGUAACCACGAUGUGAAAUGGUUUGCGGUGAUCGGUUCCCUCAGUUAGUAUAUCGUCAUCGGUAAAUGAUAUCACAUUAGUGUCCAGUACGUGACCGAUCAAGUGGUGUGUCGACACCGGGGAUUUGAUUCACUUUCCUGGUAUGUUGUUUACCUUUUGUAUUUUGAUAGAUCGAUUUACUCAUUUAAAAGGAGAGAUUUUAGGAAAACAAG